rnacentral:rRNA from 1 species
CAGUAGCCGCGGGAAUACGAAGGGUGCAAGCGUUAAUCGGAAUUACUGGGCGUAAAGCGCGCGUAGGUGGUUUGGUAAGAUGGAUGUGAAAUCCCCGGGCUCAACCUGGGAACUGCAUCCAUAACUGCCUGACUAGAGUACGGUAGAGGGUGGUGGAAUUUCCUGUGUAGCGGUGAAAUGCGUAGAUAUAGGAAGGAACACCAGUGGCGAAGGCGACCACCUGGACUGAUACUGACACUGAGGUGCGAAAGCGUGGGGAGCAAACAGUAUUAGAUACCCCGGUAGUCCCUGUCUCUUAUAC